CGUCUAUUAUUUCCUUAUAAAACGAAAGAAAUUUCUCGGGCAACCUAAUGUUAUUAAAUUCCCUAGAUACUCUCCGGAGCUUGAAAAAUCCCUAAUUCUCCCAAACGUUCUAAAUUCCAAUAUUAUUCAUAAUAUCGAUUAGGAUUAGUUUGAUGUAUGAAACAGCUGGAAGGUCCUGGACGAAUUCUCGGAGUGGUGCAGUGUCGUCAAACGAUCGCGGCAGAGGUUCGCGGUGUUACAGUGCAGUGGUCGACUCGUUCGCUUCGCUAUUCGUUACGUGUCCGCUAGAAAAACGGCGAACGUGGUUUCUCGACGGAGGUUGCGGAGGCUCGCGCGAGAUCCCGCAAAGGGCGCAGGAUCUUUUCGUUGCCGUGAAUGCGCUGCAUUAAUCAAGCGCCGCGGGCGCCUGACGUCUUAAUCCUGGCUAGCCUACGCACCGUCCGUUCUACGCCCACGCCUCAAUGUACCUACUAAACGGCCGCUACGUCAGCGAUUCGCGGCCUUUGUACGCGGCCAUCAUUGCGUCGUGGGAUCGUUGGUUUCUUCUUUUCGCGGCUCAGCCUAACGGAACUCGGUUCGUAGUUGGCCGAUUAUUAUUCAACAGGCACUGCGUCGAUAUUCUGGUGGAAUGAAAACGCUAUACGCACCAACGUUAUCUUAUUCAUGGUACGGGAAACGCGGAACAGUUAUGUUGCAUGCGCUUCAGGGGCAAAAAGUGUGGACAGUCUCCGUUUGUCUGCUUCGUUCCGGUUGACAUUGAAUAGGCUGUGAUUCGGAUGGUUUGUGCGUGGGCGGUUUACGCCAGAGUAGGUGGAUAUCGAAGAUAUUGAUAAAUCUGCUGGUUUUCGUUAUGGCUGACUGAUAUUAAGGAGAAUGAAUUUAUCGAAGAAGGGAUGAGGCGAUCGUGUUAAUGCUUGGCAAAAGAUCCGAUCAUAAUACCGAUGUGAAAUAUGAAGUUGCUGGAACGUGUAACUGUAUUUACAUGUACAUCUACGAGAACGUGGAAGAUCAGUUAAUGCGAGGAUUCUUUGAAUUUUGUAUAGGCACACUCUUGACAAAUGCGACAAACCAACCAGAACGGUGGAUUAAAAAAAAGACUUAGAAGAAUCGAUAUCAAACAACAACUAUUCUUUCCAAUUAUUUUCUUUCUGAAAUUCAAAACUGAUGAAACUUACGCAAUGUAAUUUACCGUUCGAAAGCCAAUGUAAAAUUCCAGUCUCGAUAUCUCAUCGAUUUCCUAUGUUAGUGCGUGUCGCGACCAUCCACCAGGCACCGCCAAACGAGUUUUUAUACUACGUUACCAUUAAGAACGUCGCUGAGACCGAUGGACCCUAGUCGAUGACCAGGUUGUCUGCAGAAGGCGAUUGGUUCUCGCUGAGCUCCUCCCAGAAUCCAUUAAGAGCCGAAACGGAGAAACACAGCAUUAAUUUUAAAACCAAUCCCUGAGGAGAAAUCGGGCAUUGGCCGCCAUUCGUGCGAGCUGCCGCUGGAGAAAAUCCAUCGAAAAAAAGGCUUCUUAAUUACUUCACCGCUUGUUCCCCUCUGCGAAGCAUCGGAAACACGCGAGAUGACUCGCCUCCGGGAUUAAACGUAUCUGUUUUGUCCUUCAAACGAUCCUGUCGAUCAUCGAUCAUCUGCUCGCGAGGAGUUUCAACCCUUCUCUUUACAAAACUUCGUCGUCUUGAUCAAUACAAAUAGUAUACGUUGGUUUUUUUAUUUAUUGCGUUAGUCGUAACACUCUGUUUGAAAGUAUUCUGAUAUAAUUUAUGUAUUCCCUUCAAAUGUCAAAUUUUUCGCGCAGAAUCUACGUUUGUCCAAAGAAGCUUGUUAUGGAUCUCCACGCUUUUACGAAUGCGUAUAGUAAUUGUAACUUUAAUUAGAACGCGUUUGACUAUUUAUUUGGAAAAUGUUAAUGUGCAAAGAUAUACAGACUACGAUACGUAAGAACGUGGAAAAUAUCU